CCCACAGGACAUGGCACCCCAGUUCAGAAGAAUCAGUCUCAGAAAUAUUCAAAUGCUUAUACACAGUGGAGCCCCUGACCUUCAGUGCAUGACCAGCACCACACCCAUGGGCCCCAGGGAGGCCCUGCAUCUCCAGGAAAAGCAGCAAUCAUUCCCUUCUGGGUUCUGAUGCCAGGAGUGGCAACUCCCCUCCAGAGUGCUGUGCUGUGCGCUGCUCUCCCUACAAGGGGAGGGUCAGAAGUCAUCACAAGAGGAAGUGAGGCCUCGGCCCUGGCCUCCCCUCUCUGUCUUCAGGAAGCCCACACCUCACAAAUCAGAGUUUACGGCCGUGAACUCUGAGUGCCAGAACCUCUGUGCUCAUGGACUGACACCAGCAAUCGCUUGGAGCCACUUACUCCAGGGUCAGCAUCAGGAGAAGGGGUCCCUCCCUGGGGUCUGGGUGGACACUUUACAAGCGCAUUUACUUCCUGUUGCCAUCUUUACAGCUUUCCCUCAAAGGCUGUUGCCAUGGUAACAGAGGUCUUCACCUUUUCCCUGUUCAAUAAGUAAAAUGACUUUAAAGUUUUUUUUAACCUCCUUUAAACUUCAUCUCAAGGAUCUUAGGGAGGAGGUUCUUCACAGCAUUGACUAAGGCUUUUAAGUAUAUUAAUUGGCUGUUAGUAAAGUUUUCUAAAUUAGACUCAAAAUUCACAAAGCAGGUGAUCUUAUCCAGAGCCCACUCUGUCAUUCUGGAAAGACCCUGACCUUCCCAGAGGCUCUCAGAAUUCUCAGUGACACUUCUCAGUUGUCUGUGGUGACCUGGAGCUUACCCUGAUGGAGAGACCACCAGCCCUACCCCAUAAUGGACCCAGCAGAGUGAAGUUCCCUGUCUCCCAGGGGUAGGACACCCAAGACUCCAUCACUGCUGGCCUAGCUGGACCAACCUUCUGCCACCUCCUUUCUCCCUCCACCCACCCCCUACAACACUUAUUGAGGAUCACCUCAUGCUGAGUACUGCAGUCUAUGUUCCACAUACAGGAGUGACUAAGAUAAAGGUCCUGCCCUCCUGGGUCCCCGGUUGUAAUGACAGAGACAGAGAAGGAGCCAUAUUCAAGCACAUGUGGAAUGUCACAUCACAGAAAGAGACAGAGCCAAGGGAGGAGCACAAAGAUUCCUGAAGUGGUGAGAGAAAGCAGGAAGCUGACUAUCUGGGAAAGAACUUUCUAGAAAGCAGGAACCACAGUCCUGUCUUGGGAACAAGUUUGUGGUGUUCAAGGACAUUGAUCAAGAAAACUCAAGGGAAACAAAACUCUACAUCAGCUCGGGAGGCCCUCUACCUCUUUCCACUCCCCAGGAGACCCUCCAUUCAGCCCUCCCCUGACUUCUUGAGGUUUUCUUAUUCCAGCUGACUCAGUUUAUCUGUAUCUCAUCUGUGUAAAAUCUUGAAGCCUUAAUCUCACAAUGUAUUCUUUUUUAAGAUUUAUUUCUUUUAUGUAUAUGAGUGCACUGUAGCUGUCUUCAGACACAUCAGAAGAGGGCAGACAUUCAGAAGAGGGUAGACACACCAGGAGAGGGCAUCAGAUCCCAUUACAGAUGGCUAUGAGCCACCAUGUGGUUGCUGAGAAUUGAACUCAGGACCUCUGGAAAAGCAGUCAGUGCUCUUAACCUCUGAGCCAUCUCUCCAGCCCCACAAUGUAUUCUUAAUUUUGAACUUUUCCUUGAUUCUCUUUUAUAGUUUCUAGUACUCUGACAGAAAUCCAAAGAUUCUACUGACCCUGUUAAGCAUAGUUAUUUAAAAAUCCAUAUACUUCUUAUCAAUAUUUUCCCUUCACCUCUUGAUUCCUCUCUCUGUGAAUCUGUCUCUUCCCUGGCCAGAACGUUGCCUUAUCUCACAUGCCAAGUCAUUUAAACUGAGAGAUAAGGGUGGGCAAAGCCACCUGCUGCACACGUAUGAGGACCUGAAUUCAAAUCCCCAGCACCCUCAUUUAAAAAGGUGUGGCCACGUGCACCUGUCACCCCAGAACUGCUGGGAGUCAAAGACAGGAAGAUCACUGGGCUUGCUAACUGGCAGCCUGGCUCCAGGUUCACUGAGAGACUCUGUCUCAAGGAAUAAGGUGGAGAGUGAUAAAGUCGGACAUUGGUUUCCUUCCUCUGACCUUCACAUGUGUGCAUAUAGCACACAGAUACAACUCGCAUGCACACACAUGCGACUGUGCACAUGCAUGUACACACACACACACACAAGAGCUGGCUCAGCCAUGCGUUUGCUGGUAGAGUGCUUACCUAGCAUGCACAUAGCCCUGGUUCUAUCCCUGUAGCGCCAAUAAACUGAGUAAUAGACUAUGUGAAAAAGUAAAGUAAAAAGGCAAAUUUGCCGGAUGUUAUUGUUGUCCUAGAGGCUUACUGCUGAAUAAGCUCACGCCUUUCAGCUCUUCCUGAACUCUGGCUGGCUGGCUCAACUCAGCUGUUCUGGCUCAAACUCCUCUCCAAGCUGACUGAUUCUAUCUGACUUCUUUCAGCUUCUCACUGAAUUGCUCUGCCUGGCCUCAAACUAACUCUGGCAAUUUGUUCUAAUCUUCUGACUCCUUCUCAUUCUCUGGCUUCAGCUGCCUCUGCUGACCUGCACUGAACUGCACUGAAUUGCAUGAACUCACGAGCAAACUCAACUCCACUUCAGUGCACUGACUGCACUGACUCCCUACUGACUACACCGUUCUUAAGUAGGCUCCUUCCUGUGCUGGUCUCCUGAGAGUUGGACAUAUCCUAUUGCUGACUCAUUCUGUCAAAUCUUUCCCUUAUGUGUCACUUUGUCUGCCCCUCAAUUAGAUGCCACUUUCAAACAUGGCUACUUCCUUCUAGAAACUAACCUUAUAUACGUUGUUUGGGGUUAAAGGUGUGUGGUGCAUCUACAUUCCAGACAGAUCAUACAGACCUAGGUCUUUGGUUAUGAUUCCCUGCCAGAGCAGCCGUGUUGCUGGAUUAAAACUUCUCUACAAUGAUGUAUAAUGAACUUCACAGAAACCCAGGUGUACGUCACCUUUGUCCAGACAGAUAUGACAUUCACCCAUGACAAUUGUGGGCUAAAUGCCCUAACUGUACCUACUCUGAGACUGGGACAAUCAAAGCCAAGCUUUCUUUACUGUGAAGGCCAGGUCAUUUCUGGUCAGUCCUCUGCCAUAGACUAUUGCUCUGUAAGUUCUUCUCAAACCUAGUAUUAGUGAGUUGGAGAAGAGCAAAGCCUUAUUCUCCAGCAGGCCCUGAAUGCUGAGUGCAUCCCACCCCUGCUGCCUAGCAACAGCUCCUCC
rnacentral:lncRNA from 1 species